CCCUGGUAGNCCACGCCGUAAACGAUGAAUGCUAGCUGUUAGCGAUAUACUGUUAGCGGCACAGAGAAAUCGUUAAGCAUUCCACCUGGGGAGUACGCCGGCAACGGUGAAACUCAAAGGAAUUGACGGGGGCCCGCACAAGCGGAGGAACAUGUGGUUUAAUUCGAUGAUACGCGAGGAACCUUACCUGGGCUUAAAUUGCAGUGGAAUAACGUGGAAACAUGUUAGCCUUCGGGCCGCUGUGAAGGUGCUGCAUGGUUGUCGUCAGCUCGUGCCGUGAGGUGUCGGCUUAAGUGCCAUAACGAGCGCAACCCACAUCGAUAGUUACUAACAGGUUAAGCUGAGGACUCUAUCGAGACUGCCAGCGUAAGCUGUGAGGAAGGUGUGGAUGACGUCAAAUCAGCACGGCCCUUACGUCCGGGGCGACACACGUGUUACAAUGGGAGGUACAAAGGGCAGCUACCUGGCGACAGGAUGCUAAUCUCUAAAACCUCUCUCAGUUCGGAUUGGAGUCUGCAACCCGACUCCAUGAAGCUGGAUUCGCUAGUAAUCGCGCAUCAGCCACGGCGCGGUGAAUACGUUCCCGGGCCUUGUACACACCGCCCGUCAAGCCAUGGGAGCCGGGGGGACCUGAAGUAUGCAACCGUAAGGAGCGUCCUAGGGUAAAACUGGUGACUGGGGCU
rnacentral:rRNA from 1 species